rnacentral:rRNA from 1 species
UACAGAGGGGGCGAGCGUUGUUCGGAAUUACUGGGCGUAAAGGGCGCGUAGGCGGCCCGCUAAGUCGAACGUGAAAUCCCCAGGCUCAACCUGGGAACUGCGUCCGAUACUGGCAGGCUUGAAUCCGGGAGAGGGAUGUGGAAUUCCAGGUGUAGCGGUGAAAUGCGUAGAUAUCUGGAGGAACACCGGUGGCGAAGGCGGCAUCCUGGACCGGUAUUGACGCUGAUGAGCGAAAGCUAGGGGAGCAAACGGG